UCAAAUGUUGGGGUUACAGGUGUGAGCCACCACGCCAGACCCAAGAUUAACAUUUAAAAGGUAGACUUAGUAACACAGCUUACCCUCUCUAUUGUGGGCGGGCCACGUCCAAUCUUUUGAAGGCCUGAAUAAAACAAAAAGGCUGGCCCUUCUACGAAUAAAAGGAACUCCUUUCCUGUCAACCUUUAAGCUGAGACAUGAGUUUUUUUCUUGCUUUUGGACAUAAAAUAAAAACAUUAGCUCUUUCUGGGUCUCAAGCCUGCCAGCCUUUGGACUGGAACUACAUCAUUGUCUCUCCUUCUCAGCCCUUCAGACUAGGACUGGGACUGCACCACCAGCAUUCCUGGGUCUCCAGCUCUCUUCAACGAAAUCAUUUUAGUGUACUGCCUUUUUCUUGAGGGGACCAUUACUGAUACAGAAAAAGUAAUUG
rnacentral:lncRNA from 1 species